rfam:Klebsormidium nitens mitochondrial DNA, scaffold: kfl01814, whole genome shotgun sequence.
GUGAGCCGUGUGAUGGGCGACUAUCUAGCACGGUUCGGAGAGGACUUUAGUAUCUCAAAGAGGUGCUGUAUAGGUUGCGCUUUGGGUGAACUUUUCACUCUAU